AAAUUGAAGAGUUUGAUCAUGGCUCAGAUUGAACGCUGGCGGCAGGCCUAACACAUGCAAGUCGAACGGUAACAGGAAGCAGCUUGCUGCUUCGCUGACGAGUGGCGGACGGGUGAGUAAUGUCUGGGAAACUGCCUGAUGGAGGGGGAUAACUACUGGAAACGGUGGCUAAUACCGCAUAACGUCGCAAGACCAAAGAGGGGGACCUUCGGGCCUCUUGCCAUCAGAUGUGCCCAGAUGGGAUUAGCUUGUUGGUGAGGUAACGGCUCACCAAGGCGACGAUCCCUAGCUGGUCUGAGAGGAUGACCAGCCACACUGGAACUGAGACACGGUCCAGACUCCUACGGGAGGCAGCAGUGGGGAAUAUUGCACAAUGGGCGCAAGCCUGAUGCAGCCAUGCCGCGUGUAUGAAGAAGGCCUUCGGGUUGUAAAGUACUUUCAGCGGGGAGGAAGGUGUUGUGGUUAAUAACCGCAGCAAUUGACGUUACCCGCAGAAGAAGCACCGGCUAACUCCGUGCCAGCAGCCGCGGUAAUACGGAGGGUGCAAGCGUUAAUCGGAAUUACUGGGCGUAAAGCGCACGCAGGCGGUCUGUCAAGUCGGAUGUGAAAUCCCCGGGCUCAACCUGGGAACUGCAUUCGAAACUGGCAGGCUUGAGUCUUGUAGAGGGGGGUAGAAUUCCAGGUGUAGCGGUGAAAUGCGUAGAGAUCUGGAGGAAUACCGGUGGCGAAGGCGGCCCCCUGGACAAAGACUGACGCUCAGGUGCGAAAGCGUGGGGAGCAAACAGGAUUAGAUACCCUGGUAGUCCACGCCGUAAACGAUGUCUACUUGGAGGUUGUGCCCUUGAGGCGUGGCUUCCGGAGCUAACGCGUUAAGUAGACCGCCUGGGGAGUACGGCCGCAAGGUUAAAACUCAAAUGAAUUGACGGGGGCCCGCACAAGCGGUGGAGCAUGUGGUUUAAUUCGAUGCAACGCGAAGAACCUUACCUGGUCUUGACAUCCACAGAACUUUCCAGAGAUGGAUUGGUGCCUUCGGGAACUGUGAGACAGGUGCUGCAUGGCUGUCGUCAGCUCGUGUUGUGAAAUG
rnacentral:rRNA from 1 species